UCUUCUUUCCUUGCUCCCUGUUUCCCUCUCGUUGCUUUAACCCUUUCCUUUCUCCCAACUUUCUUUCAUUGAUUGAUGAAACACAACAAGAAUUUUUGCAUUCUACAGCUAUAUAACUAAUUACAGCUACUCCUUGCUCCUUGAUCUGGCUCUCCGCUGACGGCCGCUCCAGUUCCCUGUUCCCGCAAUCGCUCUCUGAACCUGCGUUCCAACCUAGCUAUACACGAAGGAUAGAAGGUUCUAAUCGAUCGCAGUCGCAUCAACGAUUAUUCAUUGUUUACAUCUGUGUCGUAAACCUGAUCAACAAUAACCUUUGGUGCUGUUAGAGCAGGGAAAGGGCGAUUCUCGAGCUGAAAGGUAUCCAUCACCAUUCUUGUCGCUGAAUUUUUUUACACCAUUCUCUCACUUCAUCAAUGCCACAAAGUGUAUCGCUUCAUGAUAGAGAAGGAACAUGCAUGAUUGCUUUGGAAGGAACAUGAUUGCUUUGUUAGGAGUCAACAGACCGGGUGGAUGAAGUAGAUCCAGUUUGUGUGCUUUAAGAAGAAUACAUUUGAAGUGUGGAGUGGAUGAAUUUUCUCCUGUCUUGAAAUUGGUCAUUUUGUUAAGACUAAAGUGAUUUCGUUUUUGUUUUUGUAGUAAGGAAAUAGUUGUGACAUAAUUACUGUUCAAUGAUAAGUUAGGAAAUUGUUUAUUAAAACCUUGAAACUAAAUAUUUUAUAAUAUUCUAUGUUUGUUUAUGUUUUAAGAAUAUUAUUUAGUUUGC